CCCGACCCGUCGAGCCCUGCUCGUGCUGGGGCCCUGCGGCAGCCCGCAGGCCCCGAAAGGAAGUGGCGGGGCCGCGCCCGCACCGAGCGUAGUAGCAACGCGCCGCUCCGGCGCGGCGGCGGACCCCGGCCGUGAAAGCCCAGCCCGUACCA
rnacentral:misc_RNA from 1 species